rnacentral:rRNA from 1 species
UCCGGAAGGGGCUAUCGUUGUUCGGAAUUACUGGGCGUAAAGAGCGCGUAGGCGGCUUACCAAGUUGGGGGUGAAAUCCCGGAGCUCAACUCCGGAACUGCCUUCGAUACUGGUAGGCUCGAGUCCGGAAGAGGGGCGUGGAAUUCCCAGUGUAGAGGUGAAAUUCGUAGAUAUUGGGAAGAACACCGGUGGCGAAGGCGGCGCCCUGGUCCGGUUCUGACGCUGAGGCGCGAAAGCGUGGGGAGAAAACAGG